rnacentral:rRNA from 1 species
GACGAACGCUGGCGGCGUGCCUAAUACAUGCAAGUUGAGCGCUGAAGGUUGGUACUUGUACCGACUGGAUGAGCAGCGAACGGGUGAGUAACGCGUGGGGAAUCUGCCUUUGAGCGGGGGACAACAUUUGGAAACGAAUGCUAAUACCGCAUAAAAACUUUAAACACAAGUUUUAAGUUUGAAAGAUGCAAUUGCAUCACUCAAAGAUGAUCCCGCGUUGUAUUAGCUAGUUGGUGAGGUAAAGGCUCACCAAGGCGAUGAUACAUAGCCGACCUGAGAGGGUGAUCGGACACAUUGGGACUGAGACACGGCCCAAACUCCUACGGGAGGCAGCAGUAGGGAAUCUUCGGCAAUGGACGAAAGUCUGACCGAGCAACGCCGCGUGAGUGAAGAAGGUUUUCGGAUCGUAAAACUCUGUUGGUAGAGAAGAACGUUGGUGAGAGUGGAAAGCUCAUCAAGUGACGGUAACUACCCAGAAAGGGACGGCUAACUACGUG